CUUUAUUUUGAAAAUGAAGUAAACCUUAAAUGGAUUACACAAGAACGUAAAAUUUACAUAACUUACUUAAGAUGUAAACUAUUACGCCAUGUCGUGUUAUGGCUUUUACGCUGUAAAGGCAAUUACAAAUCAAAUUAUUCAUUGUUUCGUUCUUUACUGAUUUUAGCAAUGCUAAAAUUCAGAUAUUUACGAUAUUAAAAAAUAAUUUGUCAUUAAUUAGGAAAGAACAUAAUAAUUUUAAAAACUAAUAAUAAUUUAAAAUGGAAUUGCUUAAAUGUAGAUAAUCAACUAAUACAAAUAAGCUAAUAUAAAUAAGCGCCAACUAUUGAAUCUAAAUCUUGAUGCUUAAUAUUAUUUAAUAUGUAAUAUCUUAAAUUCAGUUUUCAGUUUUUUUAAUUUUUAAUUAAACUUAAUCAAGUGUACGCCGAACAUAAUCGAUCUUGAAACAAAAUUAUAAAUUGAAUCUAGAAAUAAUAUCACAAAUUAAAUCAUUAAUUUAAAUAAUUAUGCUAUUAAGCAUUUUAAAAAAAUUGUUUAAAAACUUAACGCAAAAAAUAUUAUCUCUUUUAGAAUUUGAAUCUGGAACUGUAAAAUUCCGUCAUGAGUGUCAAGUUAAUUUGGCUACCAAGGUAUAAUAAUAUUUAUCGUAAAAAAUAACCUGCAGUAUAUAUAUUAUGAGAAAAACAUAUCAAACACAGUUAUGAGAUAGAUAUACAUAUUGUUACGCGCGCUGCCCGGUAUACUCUCCGUCCGCGAGUCAGCUGUCGAAUCGGCGAUGUCGAUCGGCGGCGGCGGUCAGCUGUCUGGAGCCGGGCAAUGGGAAUUGACAGGAAUAAACAAAACAUUCGUUAAGAGGCUUCGAGCUAGAUUGGUCGUUAAUUGUAAACGCUAAGAAUAAAGCUGUUCGUUAAGAGUACGGAAGAGUGUCUUUUUAUUUCCGUGAGCGCGCGCGUAACAAUAUUAUAUAAAUAAUAUUAAGUAUUAAGAUUCAGAUUUAACGGUUGGUAAUGUUUUACUUAUUUGUAUGUGAUUAGCUCUAAGAAGCUUUUUAGUUUUUAAAUAUCGAUAACUUUAGCAAAUACUGUACAACUAAAAAAACAUCCUUAAUUUUUUUUUGAAAGCUUAGCUAAAUAUAUGUAUGUUUGUAUGAUUAUUUUAUACUUCUUUAUAUUACUUAUUUAUUUUGAUAUAAAUGUGUAUUUAUACUGAAAAAAAUAUUUCUUAAUUUUAGGAAAUAUAUUUAUUAAAAUAAAAUUUGUAUACUUAACUCUCUCGUGCAUAGUGGGACAUAAAUUUCUUCAAAAAUUCUUUAAAACAUCUACAAAAAUAAAGAGAGCGACUUUCUUUUAAGCUAAAUUUAAAGAUAAAUAAUAGGACUCCUUACAAAAAAAUCAAAAUCUGCGUAAAUUUCACUUUUUAAUAUACGUAUUUCAAAUAGUCUUAAAGUGAAAUAAAAGUGAAAAAUAUUAAUAUUAUUCACAAAAAUUAAGAUGUCCUUUCGAAACACGGAUUAGCUUGUUAAGGUGUCAGAUUUGAAAGUAAUUCAAGCGAGAGAAAAAAAAUUACAAACAAGAUUACAAAAAAAGAAACGGGGGCAGACACGGACAAUUCACCUGGAUCUGCGAUGUUAGAAAAUAUGUAUAUACGAAAUACUUUGAAUACCUAGUAUUCGGUUAUGCAGACCAUGUAAGUUUCAGGUAGAACGAUGCGCGGCGCCAGCAAUCAGGACCAGAUCGGUGACCACGUGGUCGUUCCAUACAAUGUGUCGCAUGGACCGGAAUUCAACAUUAGUUCCUAGCACAAAAAGCGGAGCAAUCCUAGCUCGCCCAAAAGGUGUUUUUUGACUAGUUAGACAGUCGUAUUACGCGGGGCGAAUUAAAAGAUUAGAUCAUCUUGAUACUUUUAAAAAAUCGGAAAAAUUUUUUGCUUAAUUAAUAUUGCAAAAUCGUAAGAAUAGUUUCCUUUUGGCGCAGAUAAAAAAACCACUCAUUAAAGAAUUAUAACUGAUAUAUCGCCUAAGCGCGCCAAAACGCGGUCGAGCUUCUCUGAUACUCCAAACGAUGGAGCGCGUCAAACGGAGGGCUAGCUAUAUCCUUUGUAUUUCCCAGUCUCCAACAGACAGAACACAGAAACCUAAAAGCCCGUCGAAAUGUUUUCGUCCACCAGCGCCUCAACGUACAUAAAACAUGCACUUAAUUCGAACUACGUAAGCAAUGUCUACGAAGAUCCGUAGAUAACGUGUACAAUUGUCUAUAGCUAUAGGUCUUUUCCGUGCUAUGUUUAUGAUUAUUUGGUUUUGUUCCAUGCUAUAUCCAUAAAAUGUAAAUACUUGUAAAGCCUGUUCUACAUUAAUUGCAAGUCGCUGGUUACAAUUUGCGACAAUGACUGUCGAGAUUUAACUAGAAGCUAGGCGCUUAUUGGGUGUCGCAAGUCGCAACUCUUUGCGAUUAAUGUAGAAUGGGCUAAUAUGCAAGGUCGAAGCUAAACUGCUGUAUAAAACGAUUGAAACCAAACUAUUCUUGCAAAAGUAUUUUGCAAAAUUAUAAUAAGAAUUAAUAGUAUAUAUACUAUAUAUAUUAUGUGCGCGCGAAUGCUUUGGAGAAUACAAAGAUCGUCCGGGCCUCAAUUAUAAAUAAAUUAAUAUUUUUUAUAAAUUAUUUGUCUUGACAUUGUUCUUGCAUUUGUACAUUUUAGUGUACAAAAUGCGAAAAUAUUCGUUAAAAAUUUUUUAUUUUACAUAAUUAUGUGCACGCGAUAACUUUGAGUUAAAUGAAUCACUCCUGGGCUUCGACAUUAUUAACAAAUAAUCUUUCUUCUAACAUCAUUGAUCUUAAGGAUUGUUUUCGCAGUAGCACAUUUUGACAAACGCAGAAUCAGUUAAAAUAUUUUCAUCUUACAUUUUCAUAUACGUGUGAAUACAUUGAUCCGGGAAAGAAUCUAUAUCAACGAUCAAAUUAUAGAUAAAAGUAUAUUAGAAGAAAUCUAAUUUUGUCAAUUGGUAUUUAAAAUUAAAACUAACGUGAUGGUUAAAUUAUAUUUUCGUGUUAUUUGAAUAAUUUGAUUAUACAAAUACGUUGUGACCUCGUGUUGUAUUAUUAUCUAGGAUUUUAAACCGAAGAAAGGGAUAGACUGCGAAACGCGAGACACAAUGGGCAGAAGAUCGCGAGCAGUAGCAGCGAAGAGACGCGUAGUCGAGCACUUACGAAAAGCGACAAAAUUCUAAUUUUCGCGAUUUGUUCUAUUUUAUAAUUAAAUUAUUAAAAACAUCAGAUUAUUAGCUCUACCAGGUCUGGAUUAUCCUACAUUUGAUCUUUCUGAUAAAAUUUAAUCUACUUUACCCGAUAAAGAUUUUUUCCCGAUCAGAGAUCGCUCUCGGGCUUCAAUUAUUAAGAAAUAAUUUUUUUUCUGACGUUAAAUUCAAAGAUUGUUCUUGCUUUUGUACAUUUUGGCACAAAACGCAGAAGUUAUCGUUAAAAGUUUUUGAUUUUAAUUCGAUGGAUUAUGUUUAACGUGAAUAAGUCUAUAAAAAGCUGUAUAUAACCAUAUAUAACCGUAUAUAUUAAUAAUUUGAAAUAUAAGAAGAAUAUUUGGCGUUAAAUCUAAUAAGGUAAAUUUAAUUAAAUAAUUCGAAAUUUAAUACACUGAAGAUUGAAGAACACUGAAAGAUUGGCAUCACGCGAUACAACACCGCUCAAUCUUUUAUUUACUAAUAAAAUUUUGUUAAUUUUUCACAAGUAUCUGGAAAUAUCUGCUUUGAUGAUUGAUCGCUGUUACAAAUAUUUAAUUGUCUAAAUUUAUAAUUGCUUACUGUGAUAAUUGAGAUAUCUAAAAUAUUAAUAAAUAUUUGCAACGAGUCUUUAUACAGAAAAUACAAGAAAUGAUAAAAUUUAUUAUUUGCUGUUUACUUAUUUUUAUACUUAUCUGUGUCUAUACCUGUACUUAUACUUACAGUAAUACUUGUGCAUAUUACACACUGAACAGUUUGCUUAAGUAUUUAUAUCAUGAUAUCUUUUGUCUCACAGUGACAGUUUGAUAUAUGCUCGGUAUUCAUUUUUUUAAUGAAUUAAAAUUUACAUGGUCUUUCAGAAAAAAUCUUCCCUCCCGUGGGUACGACCUUGACGUGGUGGGAGGGCUCAAUACCCCUAGGGCUUGAAAGCCUGUGGGGGAAGCUAACUGUACCCAUUGCACUUAUUACGUCGUCAAUCGUAAAAUUGUGGUUCGUCGCGUCGCGUUUUCGGGAGUACCGACCGAUUUAAAUGAAAACGAACCGUAGCCGGUUCGUCGCGUUAAUUGCGCGUUUGCUUCGGGAGUGCCGUUCAAGUAAAUGGACUAAAAGGGCGUUUCUCAUAACUCCCAUGAUACAAUUCGAUCGAGAAUUAAAACUCGUAUCAUGGGUUUUAUAGAUUAGUCUAAUUAGUUCUACGCGCGAUUGUAGUAUAUGUUAUUCGCGAGUGUCUUGUGCAACGAGAGGAGGAAGAGAUGCAGGCCUGGAAAAGGCAUCGAGCUUCGGCAAAGCAACCUUUGUGAAUCAUAGUAGGGACGUUGAUUUGAAUAACUGCCGCUGCGCAUCGGUCGUUAUUAUAGGGAUUCUACAAGCGUCGAGCAGCAAGUUUCACAAGUUCAGAAAUCACUAAGAGACGUCAACAAGAACAUGAAAUUUAGUAAGGUUAGCUUGGGUCAAGGGUACUAUUCCGUAACCAUUUAUCGACAACUAUCGAUGUCAUUAAAUAUCUUUGCGCACGUAUUUUCAUAUAUGAAAGAAUAUGCGCAACGACACUUAAGUCCCUCACACAUGAAUUGACAUAACCAUAACUGUAAAGUUUCGACCAAUCACGUACUUGAUUCAGCCUGCCUUGAUUUACGGCAGGUUACGGUUACGGUCGCCCAAUCCGACGCGUCGAAAUCUUACUGUAAUGGUUAUGUCAAUUCAUGUGUGAAGGCCUUUAACGACAUCAAUAGUUGUCGGUAAAUGGUUACGGAAUAGCGGUUCAAGUACUUUCGCUUCCUUCUAUGCUGCUUUGCUUCUUGCCCAAAAUCCAACUGUUGAAUUUUUCGGAAGCGUCAGCAAUGGCGUAGAAAAUAUCUCUUCGUUGAUUGGCUGCUGCUCAACGCUUGCCGCUUGCUGCAUCCAAUCUGCACUAGGCUUUACUUGAUAGGUAAAAGUGCCUUUUCACGCUGACGCUUGAUACUCAUUUUCAGCAUAGAGCUUGUAUUGAUGGAAGGGCCAUUGCUAUAUGCCGGAGUCCGCGUGGGGAGAAUCGACAGAGACAUGAAUAUAUUCUCAUAUAUUCUGUCUCUUUUUGUGUUGGACAUCCCCACCACUCCGUUUUCUAGAAGAAAAGAAGCGCACAUACGAGCGGUACGACAGGUACGAGCCUACCUACUUGGUGCCUACUUGGGCCUUGGGCUGUUACAAUUAGUUACAAUUAGUUCAAAAAAUUUUUACAUACGAAAGUAAUGCUGUGCAUUCAUUGAUUGGCAUGCAUCUUUUAGAUUCUAAAUUAUGUACCAUUUAAUGAAUGCACAGUGUUAUCUUUGUAAGCAAUUUUUUUCGUACAAGUUCGAGAAUCGGGCCUCGGAUUGUAUAGUUACGAACCUGGGCCCCGAUUCUUGAAUUCAUUCGCAA